CCAAGAUCCAGCAAGGCUCCAAGUUAAAGACUGUCCUUGUAGUAUCCUUGAACCAGGAAACUCAACUCAAAGACAAGACGUGAUGCAUUCCCGCUCCCGAGAAUUGAUGAGAGUUUUGAUGCGCUGAGAGGGGCAAAGUUCUUUUCGACCUGGCGAGCGGAUACCACCAGAUACUCCUGGUCUACCUAUAUGACAUCUUGGUUUUUUCAGAGACAUUUGAG